rnacentral:rRNA from 1 species
GCAGUCGAACGGGAUUCUCGACUUCGGUUGGGAUGAGAGUGGCGCACGGGUGCGUAACGCGUAUGCAACCUACCUUUUACAGGGGGAUAGCCCGGAGAAAUUCGGAUUAAUACCCCAUAAUAUAAUUUUUAGGCAUCUAGAGAUUAUUAAAGCUGAGGCGGUAAGAGAUGGGCAUGCGUCUGAUUAGCUAGUUGGCGGGGUAACGGCCCACCAAGGCAACGAUCAGUAGGGGUUCUGAGAGGAUGAUCCCCCACACUGGCACUGAGAUACGGGCCAGACUCCUACGGGAGGCAGCAGUAGGGAAUAUUGGUCAAUGGGCGAGAGCCUGAACCAGCCAUGCCGCGUGCAGGAAGACGGCCUUCUGGGUUGUAAACUGCUUUUCUACGGGAAGAAAACGCCCAUGCGUGGGUAACUGACGGUACCGUAGGAAUAAGCACCGGCUAACUCCGUGCCAGCAGCCGCGGUAAUACGGAGGGUGCAAGCGUUGUCCGGAUUUAUUGGGUUUAAAGGGUGCGUAGGCGGGCGAUUAAGUCAGUGGUGAAAGCCGGCAGCUCAACUGUCGAAAUGCCAUUGAUACUG